GACGAACGCUGGCGGCGUGCUUAACACAUGCAAGUCGAACGGACAACGAGGGAGCUUGCUCCCUCCGGAUCAGUGGCGAACGGGUGAGUAACACGUGAGCAAUCUGCCCCGAACUCUGGGAUAAGCGUUGGAAACGACGUCUAAUACCGGAUACGACGCGGGAGGGCAUCCUCCCCGCGUGGAAAGAACUUCGGCUCGGGCUUAGCUCGCGGCCUACCAGCUUUUUGGUGUGGUAACGGCUCACCACGUCCACGACGGGUCGCCGGCAUGGGAGGGUGACCAGCCACCAUGGGACUGAGAGACGGCGCAGUCGCCUAUGGGAGGCAGCAGGGGGGAAUAUUGCACAGUGGGCGCAAGUCUGAGGCAGCAGCCUCGCGUGCGGAAAGCCGGCUUUCGGGUUGAAAACCACUUUUAGCAGGGAAGAAGCGAAAGUGACGGUACCUGCAGAAAAAGCACCGGCUAACUACGUG
rnacentral:rRNA from 1 species